rnacentral:rRNA from 1 species
GUUAUGCAUGUGACCUCUUGGUUGCACCAUACACGUACACUACGAUUCCGUUUUGUUUAUACGUACAUAGUACAAGAAGGAUAAUACCCUCCCUCCCGGCCGUAUCUUUGCCAUCCUCACUCAGAUUAUUAUGCCAAGACCAAGAGCCUGGGAGGAAUCCAGUCCCCAAGAUUCCUCGUCCCCUUCCCCUUCCCCUCCGCCUCCGGCCGGCCACGCCCACCAACACAAGACAAGCUCGGCAAAAGAUCCAAUUUCGCCGCCGCCGCCGCAUCCACCCCCAAUUCCUCGUCCCCGCACCCCGACCACACCCCAUACCGGCCUCCCUACUAACUAGCGAGUAGGGACGGACGGCCCGAGCAACCAACCGAACCAGCCCAAAGAUUUGAUUUUCGAUUUUCGAUUCCAUCUCUCGCCAAGAGAGACAGCGAGAGGGAUGGGGAUCCCGAGCCCGAGCGACGAGGUGGUCCAAAUCGUGCACGGGGACAGCGCCGGCGACCCCACCGUGGUCACCGUGAGCUGCCCCGACAAGACCGGCCUGGGCUGCGACCUCUGCCGCCUCGUCCUCCUCUUCGGCCUCAACGUCCUCAAGGGCGACAUGAGCACCGACGGCCGCUGGUGCUACAUCGUGCUCUGGGUCGCCGCCUCGCGCCGGGGCCGGCCCCCCGUCGCCUGGGACCUCCUCAAGGAGCGCCUCGUCGACCUCUGCCCCGUCCCCGCGCCCUUCGGAGUCGACAGCGCCUACCUCGCCGCCGCCGGCCUCCAGGAGCCCGCCGGAGAGCCCCAGGUGUUCCUGCUCAAGUUCUGCUGCUACGACCGGAUGGGCCUCCUGCACGACGUGACAUGCGUGCUGUGCGAAAUGGAGCUUACGAUUAGGAGGGUCAAGGUCUCCACCACGCCCGACGGCAGAGUCAUGGACCUUUUCUUCAUCACCGAUGCUAGGGAACUUCUACACACAAAGAGCAGGAGGGAAGAGGCCUACGAAAAGCUGCAGAGCGUCUUAGGUGACUCGGUGACGAGUUGUGAAAUAGAAUCCGCGACGGAGGACAUGUCUUCUUGCCUCCAAGCUUCAGCGUUGUUGUCGCCUCUUGUCCUGGAGCAGAUGUUCAGCGAGGUUGAUGUCAUUGAGGAGCAGUCGAGCCGCUCGAGGUCUGACAGUAGACUGUCGGUCACAAUGGACAACUCCCUCAGCCCCGCGCAUACCCUGAUUCAGAUCCAGUGCGGCGACCACAAGGGCCUCCUGUACGACAUCAUGAGAACAGUCAAGGACUGCAACAUCCAGAUUUCGUAUGGUCGGUUCUACGCGGGCCAGAAGGGCCGGUGCGAGGUGGACCUUUUCGCGGUGCAGUCGGACGGGAAAAAGAUACUUGACCAGCAGAAACAGAGGACGAUGUGCUCUCGGCUGAGGACGGAGCUGCUGCGGCCGCUCCGCGUGGCGCUGGUGAACCGGGGCCCCGACGCGGAGCUGCUGGUGGCGAACCCGGUGGAGGUGUCCGGGAAGGGCAGACCGCUGGUGUUCUACGACAUCACGCUCGCGCUCAAGAACCUCCAUAGACGAGUCUUCUUGGCCGAGAUUGGAAGGCAUGUGGUGGAUGAUAGAGAGUGGGAGGUGUACAGGGUGCACCUGGGGGAGGACGACCACGAGCUCUCGUGCUCGGUGCGGAGCAAGAUCGUCGACGGCGUCACCAACAUGCUCAUGGGCUGGGACUGACUGACCGACUGGUCUCACCAUGCCUCUUCCUUGACAUUCAGUCUUGUUGCAAAAGACAGAGACCGGCUUCAUUUGUUUGUUUUGUGUAAGUAGGUGCCAUCGACUCGUUGUACAUAGGGAGGGAUGUUGAUGGCUGCUGCUGCUGAUGUAAAUUAAGUGGUUUCAGGUUGCUGUUCACUGGAUAGUUAGGUCACUCUGCAUCAGUCUGAAAUACUACGAAGAAGUCAUACUUGCCUUGUGUUGUUGCUAGGCAAUGAAAUGAUGAUACAUUGAUAGACCAGUGUUGUUGGGUCUGAGGUAUGUAGUGUAUCUUUGCCCAGCUCAGCUGGUGCACUAGUAUUAGCUAGUGAUUAGCACAGUAGGGCAAGUUAAGCAAGUGGUUCCGACAAUACUAUUAAUAGUUGGCAAUGCUUGCUGAUUUUCUUAUUUUAUUUUAUUUUAUGAAAGGGGUCACAUUGCUCUCUUUUUCAUUACGAAAAUG